rnacentral:rRNA from 1 species
GAUGAACGCUGGCGGCGUGCCUAAUACAUGCAAGUCGAGCGAACAGAUGAGGAGCUUGCUCCUCUGACGUUAGCGGCGGACGGGUGAGUAACACGUGGAUAACCUACCUAUAAGACUGGGAUAACUUCGGGAAACCGGAGCUAAUACCGGAUAAUAUAUUGAACCGCAUGGUUCAAUAGUGAAAGACGGUUUUGCUGUCACUUAUAGAUGGAUCCGCGCCGCAUUAGCUAGUUGGUAAGGUAACGGCUUACCAAGGCAACGAUGCGUAGCCGACCUGAGAGGGUGAUCGGCCACACUGGAACUGAGACACGGUCGAGACUCCUACGGGAGGCAGCAGUAGGGAAUCUUCCGCAAUGGGCGAAAGCCUGACGGAGCAACGCCGCGUGAGUGAUGAAGGUCUUCGGAUCGUAAAACUCUGUUAUUAGGGAAGAACAAAUGUGUAAGUAACUAUGCACGUCUUGACGGUACCUAAUCAGAAAGCCACGGCUAACUACGUG